CCUACGGGUGGCAGCAGUGGGGAAUAUUGCACAAUGGGGGAAACCCUGAUGCAGCAACGCCGCGUGGGUGAAGAAGUAUUUCGGUAUGUAAAGCCCUAUCAGCAGGGAAGAGAAUGACGGUACCUGACAAAGUAGCACCGGCUAACUACGUGCCAGCAGCCGCGGUAUUACGUAGGGGGAAAUCGUUAUCCGGAUUUACUGGUGGUAAAGUGAGCGUAGACGGUUGUGCGAGUCUGACGUGAAAGCCCGGGGCUCAACCACGGAAUGGCUUUGGAGACUGGGUAACUGGAGUGCUGUAGAGGGGAGCGGAAUUCCUGGUGUAGCGGUGAAAUGCGUAGAGAUGAGGAGGAACACCGGCGGCGAAGGCGGCUUACUGGACAAAGACUGACGUUGAGGCGCGAAAGCGUGGGGAGCAAACAGGAGUAGAUACCCUGGUAGUC
rnacentral:rRNA from 1 species